ensembl:lncRNA LINC01065 long intergenic non-protein coding RNA 1065
AGCAGCUCCCUUGGUAGGGGCAUGCAGAAGACCUGAUGACACAAACCCUCCAAAGAGUUUCACCCUCACCACAACAGGUGGCUUCCUGCUCGGCAGCCCAUCCUGCAUCACUUCAGUGGACUUCUCUGACAUCUACUAGACCACAUUAAAUGAAUCACAGCCUUGAAACUGAACUGGAAGGACUUCCUUCAAGGAGCCAGCAUAUGAACUUGCUGCCUAUCUUUAGCAAGGAGAUGCAAAUGACAUCCACAAACCUCUUCUGCUGUAUACCUGGAUGAAAGCAAGGCUAGCUGUGUGUCCUAUGGCACCAAGGACUGAAAGAUUGUAAGAAGUAAGAGUGAAUAUUCAGCUUAAACAAAAAAUAGCCUUUCUACCCAGAGACAGCGUGUACCAAAGAAAAUGGCGUCCGCGUGCAGGCCGUCUGCGCGCAGCAGUGGGAAGAGGCGGGCUCCCUGAGGAGACAACAUCCCUGACAGACCUCCCAACAAAGCCCUGCAUAUUUUUCAGUAAAUCAUGUAUAUUU